rnacentral:lncRNA from 1 species
UCUGUGACAGAUCAUCUGGAUUUACAGUUGCACUGUCCUGGUAACAGCAACAUAUGCAUCUUUCUCAAGAGCUCACUUGGGCAACCGGGACUGAGACUGUCUUCCACAUAUCAUUUCCCAUUGGUUCACACAGGAGUCUGUAGCUCCAAAGGGAUCAGGAGUGUGAACUUUUCCUCAUAAAGACUAAAGUAAAAGUGGAAGAAGCUAAAUGAAUUGAAAUAGAAUCCUAAAAACUGGGAGUAUUGUUGGAGAAGUACAAUUUAUCCAUGGGAUACAGAGACCAAACAGCAGAGAUUAACAGCCAAACACAAGCAUCUCCCAUUUACAUGUGGAAGAAGUCCUGGGAACAAGGCGACAGAAGUCCUGAGAUUAGAAGUGUUCAGCAAAUGUCAGAUGUGACUCAUCUAGUCAUGAAACCCAUAUGGGGACAGUUUUCUCCAGCUAUUGGAGAAAUAGGAACUUGUUCCACUAUUGCUGACUUUAUAGCUAGAGAAAGUCACAACAAGCAACAAGGGAGGUAAGAAUGACCUUCACUUCACAUGAACAAACAAACAGAACCCUCUGUCUCACAACCAGUGGAACUGAAUUUGAUCAAACCAUGAUGAGCUUGUCUGUUUGAAUCCACAAAACUCUUAGUAGGAACUCAACCCAGCCUACUCUUGACUUCAGUCCC